UACGAAGGGGGCUAGCGUUGCUCGGAAUCACUGGGCGUAAAGGGUGCGUAGGCGGGUCUUUUAAGUCAGGGGUGAAAUCCUGGAGCUCAACUCCAGAACUGCCUUUGAUACUGAGGAUCUUGAGUUCGGGAGAGGUGAGUGGAACUGCGAGUGUAGAGGUGAAAUUCGUAGAUAUUCGCAAGAACACCAGUGGCGAAGGCGGCUCACUGGCCCGAUACUGACGCUGAGGCACGGAAAGCGUGGG
rnacentral:rRNA from 1 species